ACAAACGUUGACAAGAAUACGGGUUGAACUCUUCAACGGAGCGCUUUUUUGUUCUUGAGAAUUUUUCACUGCUUCAACUCGCUAUCUAACUUCUCAUACAGUUGUACAGAGGAUGACCGGAGGCCAUGUUGCACAUGUUGUGUACAAGGGUCAUAGCGUUGUGAAGGAAAUUAUCAUUGGGCUUGUGGCCGGAGGUUUCUGGAAAAUGCAUCACUGGAAUAACCAGAGGAGAACUAAGGAGUUGUAUGACAUGCUCGAGAAAGGUCAGAUCAAUGUUGUUGUGGAUGAGGAAUAGGUUUGAUGGCCGGAAUCUACUGUUUAUUAUGUGUGAGAAUUGUAUUUCACGGGAAUUGAACCAUCAAUGACUGUAUAUGUUUAUUGGUAUAUUGCAUUGUAUUAAGGGAUGCAGGUGAAGGGAAACCCUUCAGCUAUUCUUCUUUUCUCAAUAAUGCUCGAGUUUUUCUCCGUUGACACUUAGUUGAGUAGUUGAUGUUUUGAUAUGUGUUUUCUUUGUGAAAUAUUGUUGUCUCCCAGGAUUCUGCAGGAGCUCGUGUAAGCAUCAAUAUAAGGUUCUUCCUCUCUUC